rnacentral:rRNA from 1 species
AACGAACGCUGGCGGCAGGCUUAACACAUGCAAGUCGAGCGCCCCGCAAGGGGAGCGGCAGACGGGUGAGUAACGCGUGGGAAUCUACCCAGCUCUACGGAAUAACGCAUGGAAACGGGUGCUAAUACCGUAUACGUCCUUCGGGAGAAAGAGUUAUCGGAGAUGGAUGAGCACGCGUUGGAUUAGCUCGUUGGUGGGGUAAAGGCCUACCAAGGCGACGAUCCAUAGCUGGUCUGAGAGGGUGAUCAGCCACACUGGGACUGAGACACGGCCCAGACUCCUACGGGAGGCAGCAGUGGGGAAUAUUGGACAAUGGGCGCAAGCCUGGUCCAGCCAUGCCGCGCGAGUGAUGAAGGCCCUAGGGUUGUAAAGCUCUUUCACCGGUGAAGAUAAUGACGGUAGCCGGAGAAGAAGCCCCGGCUAACUUCGUGCCAGCCGCCGCCGUAAAAC